rnacentral:rRNA from 1 species
GACGAACGCUGGCGGCGUGCCUAAUACAUGCAAGUCGAACGAACUCUGGUAAUGAUUGGUGCUUGCAUCAUGAAUUACAUUUGAGUGAGUGGCGAACUGGUGAGUAACACGUGGGAAACCUGCCCAGAAGCGGGGGAUAACACCUGGAAACAGAUGCUAAUACCGCAUAACAACUUGGACCGCAUGGUCCGAGUUUGAAAGAUGGCUUCGGCUAUCACUUGUGGAUGGUCCCGCGGCGUAUUAGCUAGAUGGUGAGGUAACGGCUCACCAUGGCAAUGAUACGUAGCCGACCUGAGAGGGUAAUCGGCCACAUUGGGACUGAGACACGGCCCAAACUCCUACGGGAGGCAGCAGUAGGGAAUCUUCCACAAUGGACGAAAGUCUGAUGGAGCAACGCCGCGUGAGUGAAGAAGGGUUUCGGCUCGUAAAACUCUGUUGUUAAAGAAGAACGUAUCUGAGAGUAACUGUUCAGGUAUUGACGGUAUUUAACCAGAAAGCCACGGCUAACUACGUGCCAGCCGCCGCAGUAA